rnacentral:lncRNA from 1 species
CCAAAGUCAGCUGAGUCGAAGCAGCACUUGCGAAUCACAAGUCACCGGCCGUCAGCAUUUUUUGGGAUUUUGUAUGUUCACUGCAUCUCUUUCUGGUAGAUGCUCACGCAGUCUUGCUUGACGAAAUUCAUCAUUUUGAUAAUUUGGCAGUUAAUUGACGAGAUGGUUCUUUUCUUAUCCUUAUAGUAUAUGUUUCUGAUGAAUUUCUUGACUAACUCAUUGGGGACAAUAUGUAGAUAUUCCUUCUUUCCUAAAUACAUAUGCUGAAAGGAAAAUGAUUUUACUCCCUCCAUCCGUGAAAGACUACACGUUUAGGCUUCACUUUUCCCCUAAAAGAUUGUACGUCUGCGUUUUCUGGGAUAAUUUUACAUUUUUCCCCUUGGUCUACACCUCGAGGUAACGCGGUGAUAACAACUCAGUCCAUUAAUUUGGUUCAGGCUGCAAGCGAACCCCCAAUCAUCUUGCAUUUUGCUUGUAUUACUAAUUGCUUUGGCCCACAGAAUAAAUGUGGUGGUGUGAAUCCAAGAGUUCUCCUAGCUAGUGGAGUAGCGUAGAUAGGGAAAUAGGUGUUUCUUUGCAAAAUGGUUAAUCUGUCUUAGAAAAUACAGAAGUGCAGUCUUUUGCGGAAGGAGGGAGUAUAUGAGAUAUUGACAGUAGAGAUAUUAAAUACGUAGAAUAAACAUCAGAUGGACCAUACAUAUUUCUUGUAGAGAUUGCCUUCUGGCACAUCGCCAAUGAAUAGCAACGACCAAUCUGAUGGAAUUCAAAACAUGACCUGAAAUAGACAAAAAAAACCAGUCUGAUUAAAUUUUCUUUAGGUUAGAUGUUGAAUUGCGAGAUGAUGUUGUUGAUGUUGUUUAUUAGAUUGUUGUGUGAGUGCUUAUGUUGGUUGUGCCGGUGCUUUUUAUGUGGAGGGAUCUUCUCUUCAUUUUGAGGAGCACCGUCGGUCCAGUUGUCGUUGCCCUCGUCAUUCAACUACUACCUCUACUGUCUAGGGGUGAGCUCGACUAUCAUCUCCUCCCCCUUCCCUAUUUGCUCUGUUCCGGUCGUUGUGCUGAUGCAUCUAAAUUUCUCUUUCAUGUCAAGUCUCGUAACCUAGGCAUCUCCCGUUCGAAGGGGCGGAUUGUGGUGUACUGGUGUUCUAAAGAGUAUAUGUUGAAACACAUAGAUUACAAAAAUCGGCGGAAGGCAAUGAAUUAUCCACCACACCAUCAAGGAAACUUGAGCCUUAAGGGAUUCACGAUACAUUGGGUAUAUCUUUCCUCCAAUCGAUUUGUUCUACAUAAGUUCUUUCUUGUCAUACAUGUUGCCAAUUAAUCCUUGUGAUGAAUUCCUAAUCAUGUUGGUUUGGUUGCAGGCGGCUCACCAGAAGGCUCUGGAGCCCAACCUUUUAUUUAGGUAUGCUUUGUCCCAUAAGGCACCGUUCAGAAAAGCCACGCCUUACAAUCCGGCUAACACAUCGUCUGCAUACACCAGCCAGACCGCCUACAAUCGGCUAACCUAAGUUAGAGACGUGGCAACAAAGUUGAGAGGACCCGACUAUGAUGUGGCAUCGGAGCCCCUUGACCACGAGUUGGUUAUGAUCGCUGGAGAGGGGAAGAAACAUGGAAAGGAAGCUAUUGCAGGAGACAUGUUUCCUAGGUCCUCCACUCGCACUCUAGCUGAGCACAAGGCUCGGCUAGGUCUCCCAAAAUCUUUUGUAUGUGAACGUGCCACUCCGGUAAGGGCUGAGAUGGAGGUCUUUUAUACAAGUCCUUCUACAUAUGCUUUUUGUAAUUCUUACAUAAUGUUGGAUUUGAAGAUGCGAUUGUGAUGUCAUAUUUGUAGUGCCUACUCGUGGAGAAGUUCAUAGUGGAGAGGCGACUGGCGGCUGCGGAGAGGGCGGCGGAGAGGGCAGAGGAGAGGCGACUGGCGACUGAGGACUGGGCGGCAGAGAGGACGGAGGAGAGGCGACUGGCUGAUGAGAGGACGCAGCAGGUGUUGUGGGCACAAAAUACUCAAAACUUUCAAAUGUUUAUGGUUAUUUCCUUAAUAUCCUAGCACAAUUCCUUAAUAGCCAACGCAUGUACUCUUUUACUAUCGGUGCUUAACCUUCACCACUCUUAACAUAAUUUGCAGGCUUAUUGUAUCCAGAAUGGUAUGCCUGCUUUCGGUUUUUCUGUCCUUACUCCGCAUCCUAUAGUUAGUUAACUGAAUUAUUUGCAAGGAUCAUUAUUGCAUUUCUUAGUCCGAGUGUCAUUCUAACCAUGUAAAUACUUCAUCCAGCAUCCAUCGACCCACGGAUCGAAUAAUGUUGGAUCUAAACAUGCUCAUGGUCCUGGCUUUGUUGGCAAUAACCUUAAUGGUUCUCCGCAUCUUUGAGAUCUGCUAUGGUUAGUGCCUCCAUAUCUCAUUUACAAGUAGAGACCACUUGAGAUCUUCAUAAUUUAGAGACCACUUGAAGUUAUAUAUUUACAUAGAACUAGAUGAGUCACCUGCACGUUUACGCGGCCUAACUGUCAACAUAUAUCUACACAUGCAAUUUAUAUUUUAAUAGGUCCUUCGGAUAAAUAGUUGGAUCACGAUUUUCAUGUGAAUAUGCUUUACGAAAUGUUAGUUCUGAAGUAAGUCAUUGUAUAUGUUGAUACUAUUUCAACUUAAGAAUCCAAAAAUUAUAAAUUCAUUCACACUAAUUUCUAAAAUACGACACAUUUUUGUCAGUCUGUUUUUUCUUAUACAUCAUCGGUUGGCAAUGGCACCUAAGGAGGAUAGUGGCGAAAGGUUUUAAACACUCACAUAAUAUUUACUAAUGUGACUUUUAUAUAGUAAUCGAUGGAGUAUUUUUCUUCUUCAUUCACAUUUUAGACGCUUUCACAAAAUAUUUAUAUCCUGAUUAUUUUAUUUAUGCAAUUUAAACUAGCUAUAAAUCAAGUUCAUCGACCAUACAUGAUUGGGAUGUUCAUAGGUAUUGUAGAGCUUGUAAUCUUUCCCUGAUCGUUGUAUGUGUCGCACUCUCAACUCUAUGGUUCUGUUCUAUAAAUAAAUUUUGAAUAGAUUUCUCUCCCUUUGCCCCCAUUCAACAUAAAAAAUACUUCAAAUUGAGCUCGUUGAUCUUACAUGAUUGCAAUAUUAAUAAGUUCUCCAAGAGAUGGAUGCCUUUUCCAUAAUGGUACUAUCUGUCCUUCUACCUAUAAACAUAUAAAACUGUUCCGUAUAUUCAUAAUUUUACCUAGGACUUUUAUUAUCAUACGUCAAAAAGUUUGUAAGAUGGCAUCUGGAGGAAAAAGAGUUUGCGGUCAAUACAACAAUUGCUAUUCUUAUGUGUCCAGCCCAUAUAAUUUGGCAUAUAUUCGUGGUCAAAGGUUGUAAGUACGUACCGUAUGUUUACUUUUGCGAUUUAGAUUACUUAUUGUUAGAAUAUGUAUUGAUGCUUGCACAUGGGUCCUUCCCAUGACUAUCUUUCAUGAACAAUAGUUCAUUUAAACUGAAGCAUAUGCAUGCCUUAUGUCAUUUUGCUAUUUUUAGAAUCUCAACCAUUGAAGUUAGAACAGACAUUUAUAUAAUAGAUGACAUAGCAGAAUAUCAACAAAGCAUAAUUACAAAAUGCUUAGCCUUAGUUCAUGCGUACACAUUCAAGAGAACACAUUUAUCUAUUUUCCUGUAGCGAAUCGAUCCUAAAAACACAUUUUACUUGAGCGUUAUCUUUUUGGUGUUUCUUCCAACAAAUACUGCUAGGGUGAUACCUUGUUGAUCUCUUGAGUGCACAUAUAUACGCUCCAUGCAAGUGUGCAAAUUGUGGUAUAAAUAACCCAAAUCAUAUUGGAUCAUUGGUUCAGAAUAAUUGGAAGUACAAGUACAGAUUAAUCCAAAAAAACACAAAGUUUUUGCUUAUAAAAAACAAAGAUAAGUAGACUGGACAAAUCAUGUAAUGCUAAAAUGACUUAUGUGUUGAUUGUACUUGCUGACUGGAGACCAAGUUAUUUAUUGUGUGCCAAAAUUUGACAUAUGUGUAUGAUUUAAUCUUGUAGGUUGCCAUAUGGAUGCUCUUUGGACUACGAUAUUGACAUGAAGACAUUUAUCGUGAUGCCAAAUAUUAUGUAGUAAUGCCAAAUAUUAUGACAUGGAUGUGCUAUGGAUUAUGCUAUAUAUAUAGAUGGAUGGGAUAUGGAUUAUGUUAUAUGUUGUAUGAAUGUGCUAUGGAUUUGUAACGAUUAAGACGCGGUCCUUUCCGAUUUAGGGAACGAGGUCCCCAAAAUGGAAAGGAACGCAUCUAAGCGUUUCACAAACACGAUAACAUAGCAUAUACAUAAUAAUAAAAUGACAAAUAGGGAAUCGUUUGGCAUCUCAUAGAUAAAAUCAUAGUUUACAUCACACAUUUAUUAAGACAAGGUAGUUUCCCUAUGGACUACAUAAUAUGAGAAAAGGUUAUGCUA